AAGUCGUAACAAGGUUUCCGUAGGUGAACCUGCGGAAGGAUCAUUAGCAAAGAUUUAGAGGGUGGGGAGACUGGUUGUUUAUGGCCUGUCUCUUAUCUUUUACGCUUGUAGUGUUUGACAGAGUAACUUUGUAACUAUUUAUGACAACUUUUAACAAUGGAUCUCUGGGCUCUU
rnacentral:misc_RNA from 1 species